rnacentral:ncRNA from 1 species
ACAAUGGAGAGUUUGAUCCUGGCUCAGGAUGAACGCUAGCGGCAGGCCUAAUACAUGCAAGUCGAACGGGCGCAGCAAUGCGUCAGUGGCGCACGGG